rnacentral:rRNA from 1 species
UACGUAGGGGGCAAGCGUUAUCCGGAUUUACUGGGUGUAAAGGGAGCGCAGACGGCAGUGCAAGUCUGGAGUGAAAGCCCGGGGCUCAACCCCGGGACUGCUUUGGAAACUGCAUAGCUGGAGUGCUGGAGAGGCAAGCGGAAUUCCUAGUGUAGCGGUGAAAUGCAUAGAUAUCGCGCAGAACUCCGAUUGCGAAGGCAGCAUGCCGGCUCCACACUGACGCUGAGGCACGAAAGCGUGGGUAUCGAACAGG